rnacentral:rRNA from 1 species
UACGUAGGGGGCGAGCGUUGUCCGGAAUUAUUGGGCGUAAAGGGCGCGUAGGCGGGUAUUUAAGUCCGGUGUGAAAGAUCAGGGCUCAACCCUGAGAGUGCAUCGGAAACUGGGUAUCUUGAGGACAGGAGAGGAAAGUGGAAUUCCACGUGUAGCGGUGAAAUGCGUAGAUAUGUGGAGGAACACCAGUGGCGAAGGCGACUUUCUGGACUGUAACUGACGCUGAGGCGCGAAAGCGUGGGGAGCAAACAGG